rnacentral:rRNA from 1 species
ACGAAGCAUGUAAAACAAUCCUUCGGGUGCUUUUUAUAUGACUGAGUGGCGGACGGGUGAGUAACGCGUGGGGAACCUACCGUAUGCAGGGGGACAACAGUCAUUUUUGACUGCUAAUACCGCAUAAGCACACAAUGCUGCAUGGCAUGGUGUGAAAAGAUUUAUCGGCAUACGAUGGCCCCGCGUCUGAUUAGCCAGUUGGCAGGGUAACGGCCUACCAAAGCAACGAUCAGUAGCCGGCUUGAGAGAGUGACCGGCCACAUUGGGACUGAGACACGGCCCAGACUCCUACGGGAGGCAGCAGUGGGGAAUAUUGCACAAUGGGGGAAACCCUGAUGCAGCGACGCCGCGUGAGUGAUGAAGUAUUUCGGUAUGUAAAGCUCUAUCAGCAGGGAAGAUAAUGACGGUACCUGACUAAGAAGCUCCGGCUAAAUACGUGCCAGCAGCCGCGGUAAUACGUAUGGAGCAAGCGUUAUCCGGAUUUACUGGGUGUAAAGGGA